AGAGUUUGAUCCUGGCUCAGGACGAACGCUGGCGGCGUGCUUAACACAUGCAAGUCGAACGGAAAGGCCCGCCACCUUGGUGGUGGGUACUCGAGUGGCGAACGGGUGAGUAACACGUGGGUGAUCUGCCCCGCACUGUGGGAUAAGCCUGGGAAACUGGGUCUAAUACCACAUACGACCACACUGUAGACAGUGUGGUGGAAAGCUUUUGCGGUGUGGGAUGAGCCCGCGGCCUAUCAGCUUGUUGGUGGGGUAAUGGCCUACCAAGGCGGCGACGGGUAGCCGGCCUGAGAGGGUGGACGGCCACAUUGGGACUGAGACACGGCCCAGACUCCUACGGGAGGCAGCAGUGGGGAAUAUUGCACAAUGGGCGCAAGCCUGAUGCAGCGACGCCGCGUGGGGGAUGGAAGGCCUUCGGGUUGUAAACUCCUUUCGCCCGGGACGAAGCCCACCUUGGUGGGUGACGGUACCGUGGAGAAGAAGCACCGGCUAACUACGUGCCAGCAGCCGCGGU
rnacentral:rRNA from 1 species